rnacentral:rRNA from 1 species
UACAGAGGUCUCAACCGUUGUUCGGAUUCAUUGGGCGUAAAGGGUGCGUAGGCGGUCGCGCAAGUCGGAUGUGAAAUCUUGGGGCUCAACCCCGAAACUGCAUUCGAUACUGCGUGGCUCGAGUACUGGAGAGGAGACUGGAAUUUACGGUGUAGCAGUGAAAUGUGUAGAUAUCGUAAGGAAGACCAGUGGCGAAGGCGAGUCUCUGGACAGUUACUGACGCUGAGGCGCGAAGGCCAGGGGAGCAAACGGG